UACGUAGGUGGCGAGCGUUGUCCGGAUUUAUUGGGUUUAAAGGGUGCGUAGGUGGUGAUUUAAGUCAGUGGUGAAAUACGGCAGCUCAACUGUCGAGGUGCCAUUGAUACUGGGUCACUUGAGUACUGAUGAGGUAGGCGGAAUGGACGGUGUAGCGGUGAAAUGCUUAGAGAUCGUCCAGAACACCGAUAGCGAAGGCAGCUUACUAAGGAGUAACUGACACUGAGGCACGAAAGUGUGGGGAUCAAACAGG
rnacentral:rRNA from 1 species